CAAUGACUGUGAGAAAUGCAGUCUAACCUUUUUGUUCUAAUUGGAGCCUCCACACACACAUAUAUCCAUCAUGAAGCUUUACGCAUAGGUGGGACACAUCUGAAAAGAUUACAUGUCUCCUGCAUCCAUUGUUGUUGUUGGUUGCACUUCUUUUGGCACGCCUCUUGCAGCCCCUUUCCUUGGCAUGGCAGCAGCAAUUUUUGCUGUUCUGACAGUCUGUGUCACUCCAGACAUAGCUACGCUGUCUUUGUGGAUACCUGUCUUGCUACGAAAAGUCCAUUUAUUGACACAAGAUGCAUAACAUGGCUCUAUAAUUCUACAUGACAAACAAAACAGUGGGACUGUCCUGUUCGACUCUAGUUGUGUGGGUUUGAUGAAAUCCUGCAUGUAAGUAAGGAUGGACAUCAUGAAUCCAUUGAUUCCGUUUUCUCAUAUCAUUAAUGUGGUCGUGACCAGUGUGAGCAGCAGUAUUACAGAACAAUAAGCCACUAUCCUACCGCUUUUUGUUUUUUGGCACUUAUUGGUAGAUAGUUCUCUUUCUUUUAUGAAGCAUAACAUAAUCGGUACGUGAUAGAGUAUGCAGAAGACAGUACUAAGUGUCCCAGAAGUGGAUUUCUCUCGCCUUGAUAUUUUACCUCUACAGGACAUGCUGCAAAGAGUCUGAUGCAUGUGUUAUAUUGGGUCGAAUGAAGUGAUGACUAUAGAUACUGGAACACACAGUGGGACCGCAGCAUGGGAUGAUUGCCAGCUUAACCCAAGGAUUUUUAUGAACUCAUACAGCUUCACUCACAGUGUUUGAUGCUGAAGUUCUUCAGUGGUUGUGAAUCUUUCUGUGCCAGUCCUUCAAUGUAAUCUGCUGCAGGCUAAGCUUCUGUCAACCAUGCCAUUGCAUUGGCUUGUAUUUGUCCAGAAACCACAAAUUUCAUACUGCAACAUACACUGAGGUGAUAAAAGUCAUGGGAUACCUCAUAAUAUUGUGUUGGAUCUCCUUUUGCCCAGUGUAUUGCACCAGUUUGAAGUGGUGUGGACUCAAAAAGUUGUUGCAAGUCCCCUGCAGAAAUACUGAGCCAUGCUGCCUCUAUAGCCGUCCAUAAUUGCGCAAGUGUUGUUGGUGCAGGAUUUUGUUCACAAAAUGACCUCUCAAAUACGUCCUGUAAAUGUUUGAGGGGAUUCAUGUUGGGCAAUCUGAUUGGCCAGGACCCAGCCCAUUCCAUUUUGACACAGCGUCGCCAUUAUAGAGGCACCACCAGCUUGCACAGUCCCUUGUUGACAGCUUGCAUCGGUGGAUUUGUGGGGUGUGCACCACAAUCAAACUCAGGCCAUGGUUUUCCAGUAGUCUAGAGGCCAGCUGAUAUGGUCGUGAGCCCAGGAGAGGCUCUGCAGGCAGUGUUGUGCUGUUCGCGAAGGCACUCACAUCUGUCAUCUGCUGCCACAGCCCUUAACACAAAAUUUCACUGCACUGCUGUAAAGGAUAUGUUCGCUAUAUGCCCCACAUUGAUUUAUGUGUUUAUUUCAUGCAGUAUUGCUUGUCUGUUAGCACUGUUAACUCUGUAUAAAUGCUGCUGCUUUUGUUCACUAAGUGAAAGCUCCUCGGCCACUGCAUUGCCCGUGGUGAUAGGUAACGCUUGAAUUUUGGCAUUCCCAGCACACUCUUUACAUCACAGAUUUGAGAAUAUUGAAUUCCCUAAUGAUUUCUGAAACGGAAUGUCCUAUGCAUCUAGCUUCAACUACCAUUUAGUGUUCAAAAUAUGUUAAUUCCUGUCGUGCAGCCAUAAUCAUGUUGGAAACCUUUUCAUGACUCACCUGAGUUCAAAUGACAGCUCUGCCAAUGCACUGCAUUUUCAGUUCUUGUGUACGCGAUGUUACCACCAUCAUAUGCAUAUUGCUCUCCCAUGAUUUCUGUAACCUGGUGUACAUGUGACUGCUAUCACAGGCGAUGGGAGAGCCAAAAUCCAAUGUUUUUGAGCAACUCAUGCUGUAGUGCAUUCUGCAGUUAUGGCUCCUUACAUGUUACACGAUACUAUGACGGCCACAGUCUGAUAGCUUACAGGGAUGGGCAUAACUGCAAACAAACACUUAAAUGUGAUUUCAUUGGAUAUGACAUUUUAACCUAUACUCUAUACUGAGAACAAUAUGAAAGGUAACAGCUGCAUUAGAGAGGCUUUAGAGUUAGCGAUAAAAAAUCUAUCUUCCUUGGCGAUGUAUUAUAUUGAUGAAUCCUCUUGAUGAAUCCACCUUGGAAUCAAUGAGACAGUUUACUGGUGGCGCCAGAUGCAUUGCUAUUGUGGACUUCGAAUGGUAGCCGAACCACUCUGCCUGGUGGACUAGUUUAAAUUAUCCUCAUAACCUUUUCGUUUCCAGUGUGUUGUAUACAACACACAGAACAGGUAACUUUUGUCUGCAUAAAGAACACAUGUAAUGCCAAAGACACAUGUCAGCAGUUUGUUCAUGUUAGUCAAUGUAUCACUAACUACUACAGUGAGUUUCAGCACCCUGUGUCAGCAGUUACUGAAGUUAGCCAUUGCUUCCCUAAUGCGUGCAGUGGAAGAACAGUUGAGGUUCAGUGAAUGUGAUUAUUCCAACACACCAUCAGAGUAUUUAAAUGAGCAGGCAUAUUUAUUUCGACAAAAUGAGGUCAUAUGUCCACGGUGUGGAAAGGAAUACAGAUUAAGAAAUUCUUUUCUGAAGCACAUCCAUUAUGUGUGUGGAAAAGAGCCACAAUUACAAUGCCCAAAUUGUCCAAAAAGAUUCAAGACCAGGAGCAAUCUCAACCAGCACAUCAAAGCUGUACAUCCAAAUGUGGAGAUCCGAAUCACUGAACAGGAAACUGUACAUCAAUAUAGAGAAUAAUUGGGAAAAAAUAAAUCACUUUAUAAACAGAGA